GAUGUUGUAUGCUUCUUCAGAACAAAUAAUUUCCAAAUGUAGAGUUCAGUGAAAGGUUUAUCAUAGGGAUGUGAGGAAAUAGCACAUCUUCCUCUUACAAAUCAUGGGACAGCUGGAAACAAAAGUAUGUGUCACAGGAUAUUAGUGAUGGAAAAAAAAUUAUUAAGGGCUGGUUGACUUUGUAUAUCCAAAGUCUCUUUUGUGGAGAGUAGGAAUGUGAAAUACUGGAGCGUCUUGCAGAAAGGAGGCUUCCUCAAAAAGACAAGGCCGAGGAUGUUAUUACAGCCCGGGACCAUGCCCAAAUCCAGGCACUUGUUGUUUGUCAGAAGGCUGCUGCUCCUCUUGUGUCUUUGGAGGAAUUGCCUGAGGGAGCAGCCACCUACCUGAACCUUUGCUCCUGCCUUUCCUGACUUGUGCAGACAGGAGGAGGAACAGAGCACCUAGACGUGGCAUGAGACCUGCUCAGUCUGAUUUGCAGCUUAGAAAAGACACUACUUUGAGCUCUAGAUCCUACUUUGAGAGCACAACUCAGGUGAAGAAAGCAUGAACGUGUCCACUCCUCAGCUGUUGAUGCUCCCUUCGUAACAAGUGGUGAGAAACAGCACAUGAUUCAUCUCGGCCUUAAGGUAAGGGUAGGAUUUGGGUCUAGACUGGAGGCUGAAUCCAGGAUUUAAGCCUGUUCAUUAAGUGUCUAGUGUGUCAGUGGACAUAGUCUUUGCUGUGAAGGGUAGUUGUGCCUUGUAAAGUGAACUGAAUCGUUCUCUGGUGUCCAGUGACUGAGUUGAACAGAUCUCCAUAACUGUUCUGAGAGCUUGGACAUAUUGCUCUCUCUUAGGUGCCCUUUUCCAGUAUGUUUUUCUCAAAACUCAAGUGUCUGAGCUGAUCAAGAGAAUCAAAUCCUGGAAGUACCUAUUUAUUGCCAGUGUUUUUAAAGGAUGGCUGCUAGGAGACACAAACCAUCAGGCACCAUUUCUGCUCUGGAAGGAGAAACAGCAGUGACAGCUCCCUGGGAAAGGUCCUGCUGAGGCUGAGGGUGCCAGAUGAGUUUGGGUUAGGAGAAGAGCAGGUUUUACUGGACUGUUCCUGGCUCAGGCU
rnacentral:lncRNA from 1 species